rnacentral:rRNA from 1 species
GACGAACGCUGGCGGCGUGCUUAACACAUGCAAGUCGAACGGAAAGGCCCUGCUUUUGUGGGGUGCUCGAGUGGCGAACGGGUGAGUAACACGUGAGUAACCUGCCCUUGACUUUGGGAUAUCUUCAGGAAACUGGGGCUAUUACAGGAUAGGAGCUCCUGCUCCGUGGUGGGGGUUGGAAAGUUUCGGCGGUUGGGGAUGGACUGGCGGCUUAUCAGCUUGUUGGUGGGGUAGUGGCUGACCAAGGCUUUGACGGGUAGCCGGCCUGAGAGGGUGACCGGCCACAUUGGGACUGAGAUACGGCCCAGACGCCUACGGGAGGCAGCAGUGGGGAAUAUUGCACAAUGGGCGGAAGCCUGAUGCAGCAACGCCGCGUGCGGGAUGACGGCCUUCGGGUUGUAAACCGCUGUCGCCUGAGACGAAGCGGGAGUGACGGUAAUGGGUAAAGAAGCACCAGCUAACUACGUG